UCCACAGGAGGGCCGUGUGGUGGCAGUCGCCGGCACUGCACUGGAAAUUCCACAGGAGCCGUGUGGUGGCAGUCGCCGGCACUGCACUAGAAAUUCCACAGGAGGGCCGUGUGGUGGCAGUGACCGGGACUUUUUAGAAUAAGUGUCUGAUUGUUUGUGAGCUCGUGGUUUUUGUGUGCAUUUGAUUUAAGGUGACCAAUUGAUUUUGUGUGUGCCGUUGAUGGACAGGAGAGGGCAAGUGGUUGAAUGAGAGAGCUGGUAGUUUCGUGGCAUCUGUGGUCCGUGACAAAAUUGGUGAGCCUGGCCAAGCGCAUUUCUUCAUGCCGGGCGCUGCACGUAAAAA
rnacentral:lncRNA from 1 species